UUUUUUUUUUUAAAAAAAAAAAAAAAAUUAAGAUAGAAUAUUAAACUUACAAUACCCAGGUCUGUUGUAAUUGGGAAAUUCAUGGAGGAUUUUCCCCCAACAACCGAAUUUGAAUUUUGUUACAGCUCACCAACUAUCCAUAAGAAAUGAGUUAGCUCAAAGAAAUGAAACAUGACAACCAAUCCUUUCAAGUCUCAACUCUCAACUAAAAAAAUAUCACCAAAUCCCUCAACCACAAUUUCACUUUUCUUGAAUCCCAUCAUCUGCAAAUCCAAUCCAAGCAAAUGCAGCCAAAAAUAAUUAAGAUAGGACAAAGCCCAAUAACACUACCUUGCUUUUCUAUUC
rnacentral:misc_RNA from 1 species